rnacentral:rRNA from 1 species
UAGGGAAUAUUGGUCAAUGGGUGAGAGCCUGAACCAGCCAUGCCGCGUGCAGGAAGACGGCCUUCUGGGUUGUAAACUGCUUUUAUCUGGGGAUAAAAUGACCGUGCGCGGUUAAUUGAAGGUACCAGAUGAAUAAGCACCGGCUAACUACGUGCCAGCAGCCGCGGUAAUACGUAGGGUGCAAGCGUUGUCCGGAUUUAUUGGGUUUAAAGGGUGCGUAGGCGGCUCGUUAAGUCAGUGGUGAAAUACA